UAGGGAAUCUUCCACAAUGGGCGCAAGCCUGAUGGAGCAACGCCGCGUGUGUGAUGAAGGGUUUCGGCUCGUAAAACUCUGUUAUAAGAGAAGAACGGCACUGAGAGUAACUGUUCUUUGUGUGACGGUAUCUUACCAGAAAGGAACGGCUAAAUACGUG
rnacentral:rRNA from 1 species